rnacentral:rRNA from 1 species
UACGUAGGGUGCAAGCGUUAAUCGGAAUUACUGGGCGUAAAGCGUGCGCAGGCGGUUUUGUAAGUUUGUCGUGAAAGCCCCGGGCUCAACCUGGGAAUUGCGAUGAAGACUGCAAGGCUUGAAUCUGGCAGAGGGGGGUAGAAUUCCACGUGUAGCAGUGAAAUGCGUAGAGAUGUGGAGGAACACCGAUGGCGAAAGGCAGCCCCCUGGGUCAAGAUUGACGCUCAUGCACGAAAAGCGUGGGGGAGCAAACAGG